UGGUCGUUGACAGUGCAGCGCCGGGAGUAGUACAUCCUGCUGGUGCCACCGCCGCCGCCGCCGCCCCCGCCGCCGCCUCCGCUGUAGGUCAUCUCGUAGCGCAGGUCGGGGCCGGACUCCGCGCGGGUCAUGCGACCCAGCGUGUUGAUCCGCGGGUGGGAGCCGCCGUUGCAGCUCAUGUCUGCGGUCACUCAAGAGAGCCGCUCAGCGCCGCGGCAUACGCGAGGCGUCGCCUCGGAGCACGCGAGGGACUCCCGGAGAGGAGCGCGGGACGCGGAGGACUGGCCGGGGAGCAGCGCUCCAGCAGGGCGGAGACGGGGACGGCGACUGGCGUCUGAGCGCGGGAACCGGAGCGGAGCUGUGGCUCGGAGGGCAGCGAGGGCUCAGAGGAGCUGCGUCGCGCCUGGGUGUUGGUGUUGGUCGAGGCGGCGCUAGUCUCCUCCCCGCUGGCACCAGGCGCGCAGGCCACACCUGGCCCGCUUCUUCCCAGGGCGAGGUGCGGCCG
rnacentral:lncRNA from 1 species